GAUGAAGAACGCAGCGAAAUGCGAUAAGUAAUGCGAAUUGCAGAAUUUCCGUGAGUUAUCGAAUCUUUGAACGCACAUUGCGCCCACUGGUAUUCCGAGGGGCAUGCCUGUUCGAGCGUCAUUAUAACCCCUCAAGCUCAGCUUGGUGUUGGGGCCUGCUGCACUGGCAGCCCUUAAAAUCAGUGGCGGCGCCAUCUGGCUCUAAGCGUAGUAAUUCUUCUCGCUAUGGAGUCCUGGUGGAUGCUUGCCAUCAACCCCCAAUUUUUCUAUGGUUGACCUCGGAUCAGGUAGGGAUACCCGCUGAACUUAAGCAUAUCAAUAAGCGGAGGA
rnacentral:misc_RNA from 1 species